UAUGGGUGGCCCCCUCAUAUUGCGAAUAAAUCUUUCGCCUUUUACUAAGGAUUUCCGUGUGGGGGGGCGAUGUGCCCGUUUAAAGCUUUUAAUUUUUCUGCUGGCUUCCCCCUACGGGGGGAGG